GAUGAACGCUAGCGGCAGGCCUAACACAUGCAAGUCGAGGGAGGAGCCUUCGGGCUUCGACCGGCGUACGGGUGCGUAACGCGUAUACAAUCUGCCUUUCACAUAGGGAUAGCCCGAAGAAAUUUGGAUUAAUACCUAAUGGUAUAUAGAUGUGGCAUCACCUUUAUAUUAAAGCUGAGGCGGUGAAAGAUGAGUAUGCGUUCUAUUAGCUAGUUGGAGAGGUAACGGCUCCCCAAGGCGACGAUAGAUAGGGGUUCUGAGAGGGAUAUCCCCCACACUGGAACUGAGAUACGGACCAGACUCCUACGGGAGGCAGCAGUGAGGAAUAUUGGACAAUGGUCGGAAGACUGAUCCAGCCAUGCCGCGUGCAGGAAGACGGCCUUAUGGGUUGUAAACUGCUUUUGCAGGGGAAGAAUAAGGACUACGCGUAGUUUGAUGACGGUACUCUGCGAAUAAGCAUCGGCUAACUCCGUG
rnacentral:rRNA from 1 species